GGGCCCGUAGCUCAGUCCGGUCAGAGCGACAGAUCGAAGGUCGAUGCUCAUAAGAGGCUGAGUGACCUGUUGGUCAUGGGUUCAAAUCCCACCGGGCCCACCA
rnacentral:tRNA from 1 species